GUAUGCGAUCAUACCAGCACUAAAGCACCGGAUCCCAUCAGAACUCCGUAGUUAAGCGUGCUUGGGCGAGAGUAGUACUAGGAUGGGUGACCUCCUGGGAAGUCCUCGUGUUGCAUUCC
rnacentral:rRNA from 1 species